UGGUUUAGUGACGUCGGGUUUAAAUCAAUCACGUGAGACUUUCGUUCGCCAAUCCUGGAUCACCACCCCAUGCUCUACCACCUGCUGCUGUGAAGCCUAUGGCGGCGCACAUAGCGAGCUUCCUGCACAGCGCAUGCGCAUUUCACCAGAGUCUGCCAGAAGCGAUGGUGGCCGGUAGGCCUAAUCCCCGGUUCACGAGGAAUUUUUCAUUAAAUCUUGGCAUGCCACAGCAGAACAGACCAAUAAAAAUAUGUUAUUCAGGGCUGCUUCUGCAAAACACACUACACAGCAAUGUGCUAAAGGAGGCUGCAAACAUUUUGGAAUCAUCAUUACUAAUGCAGGUACAUAACGAUGACCAAUCACUGACAGCUUUUCUGCAUUGUAUAAGCACAUAUAUUCUGGAGAUCCUCUCUUGAAAAUUUCUGCUAUGGACUCAUUCAUCACAACAACUUUGUAUUCGUGAGCUUUUUGUUUAUAUUCAGACAAUAAAGGCUAUUACGUAGUUCCACAAGGAUGACUUUUUUCAUAGAAACGUGCACUCUGGAUAUCCUGCUCAAUUAGUUGUCAAGGUCACAUGAGACCAUAAGUGAGCAAUGGCGCACAAGGAAAGAAAAAGCCUUGCUACAUUCCACAUGCUGACUCCACCAAUAUAUCUGAGGUGUCGUACUGCAGUACGUUUGAAUUGCACAGGAAUAAAGGGCAAUG